rnacentral:misc_RNA from 1 species
CCAAUAGCGUAUAUUAAAGUUGUUGCAGUUAAAAAGCUCGUAGUUGAACUUCGGGGUUCACCCAUUGGUCAGGCUUAAUUGUCUGUACUGGUGAGAUGAGUCUCUACCUUCUGAGGAACUUUCAUGCCAUUUAUUUGGUGUGAUUGGAAAUCAGGACUGUUACUUUGAAAAAAUUAGAGUGUUUAAAGCAGGCUAACGUCUGAAUACAUUAGCAUGGAAUAAUGAAAUAGGACGGAUUGAUUCUAUUUCGUUGGUUUCUAGGAUCACCGUAAUGAUUAAUAGGGAUAGUUGGGGGCAUUAGUAUUCAAUUGUCAGAGGUGAAAUUCUUGGAUUUAUUGAAGACUAACUACUGCGAAAGCAUUUGCCAAGGAUGUUUUCAUUAAUCAAGAACGAAAGUUAGGGGAUCGAAGACGAUCAGAUACCGUCGUAGUCUUAACCAUAAACUAUGCCGACUAGGGAUCGGACGCAGUUAAUUUUAUAAUGACGUGUUCGGCACCUUACG